GCUGCUCGCGGUGCUGAGGCGGGAGAAUCACCUGAGCCCGGGAGGUCGGGGGCUGCAUGGAACCGUGAUCGCACCACCGCACUCCAGCCUGGGCAACAGAGCGAGACCCUGUCUCCAAAAAUAAGAAUAAAGAAAAAAAAAGAAAGAACUGCGGCCCCAUUGGCCUGACUCUCCUGAACAGCCAAACUGUCUCCGACCAGUUACGGAAGAGGCGGCCUUGAGAGGGUAGUGUGCCAUUGGCUCGAUGUCCUGCCCCUCCGAAACCUAAGUCUUCAGCUUCCAAUCAGGACUCAGCUUUGGGAAGAGCGCCACGCGGUGGGCGAGGGGAUGCCCUAGUAAAUUCGCAGAAGCAUGGAUCUCGGAAUCCCUGACCUGCUGGACGCGUGGCUGGAGCCCCCAGAGGAUAUCUUCUCGACAGGAUCCGUCCUGGAGCUGGGACUCCACUGCCCCCCUCCAGAGGUUCCGGUAACUAGGCUACAGGAACAGGGACUGCAAGGCUGGAAGUCCGGUGGGGACCGUGGCUGUGGCCUUCAAGAGAGUGAGCCUGAAGAUUUCUUGAAGCUU
rnacentral:sRNA from 1 species